UUCGACCGGCAGGUUCGAACCGGUUUUCAGAAAAUUGGGUUAAACUAGUUGAUGGAAUCAUCGAUGGCUUCUUCUCCUUCUCAUUCUCUUUCUCUUGAAGAUUUCAGCACCACUUAAACCUCCGCAUCUAUCGAUUCUCAACUUUGAUUCGUGCGGCCCCUGUUGCGCGAGCUGAUUUUUGUGGAAAGACAAGGGAAUUGAUUGCUCUUAGAUGUUUGGAGGAAAUUUUCGAUUCUGCUCAUAGAGUUGGUUGUGAUGAAGCUACAUCAGCUGGCCUGGAUUCAAGAGUUCGGUUGAUUUUUCUAGCAGUUGUGAAGAUGUCCUCCAAAAAAUACUGGAUGAGAUACCAUUACCCAAUUUAGAAAUGGAUUGAGCUAAGCUUUUGAAAUGGAAUGUUUUCCAAUUUAUUAUGCAUAAAAGAGGCACUAUCAAAUGUGACUUACAGCAGGUACUCAUCCAUAUGCCGAUCAUUUAAGAGACAUUAGUGGAUUGCUACAUCAGAAUGAGAAUACAGUGCAUGUCAAUGACAACGUCCGCGAUGAUCUUAGGAAAAGAGAUAAUGGGAAUCACAAUUAUUGUGAAAACAUGGGAGCAAAAGAGAACCCAAUGUUUGCAAUUUUAGAGAAGGUGAAUGAAUCAUCGAAAGAGUCUUUACUUGAUAAGAUUAUACCCAGCAAGAGGAACAGGGCUGAGUCGGCUGAUGAGCAUGUGAUGAGAUACCAACUCGGAAAGCAAGUUGAUAUUAGUGAAUGUGAUGAAGUAAAUGUAAAGAAGAGUAGAUGUAAUUCACUUUUAAAUGUUGAUUCCAACAAAGAGAAGUCAGUCCCUCCCCAUGGAAAACAGGUAAUAGAAAAUCAUACCGACAAGGAUGUCCGGGAAAAUCUGGGAGUGGUGUCUGAAGAGGGUAGUCAUGAUCAGCACCUUGCUUCCAUUCGGUGUAAAUCCAGUAACCAGAAUGAAGUCUCUCAUGGUGAGCCACAAGCUUCAAUCAGUAUGAAGCAUACAUCUGACAUUGAAUACUGUCAGCAACAAAAAGAUGAACCAGUUAAAACAAAAGUUCUGCUCACAAUUCACAAACGAAGUUAUUCCUGAAAACGGAGACAAUACUGCACAUAAGGCACUCAAUGUAAUUCAUGAAUUGCAAUCUAAAAGAAAAACAGGUGCUCAAGGGAAGGAACCUAAUGCUGCAGAUGAUAAAGCUGGUGGGGCAGUGAUAUUAAGUGAUGCGAAUUAUUGAGCUCUCACUGCACUUCUGGACAUGAUAUCUCAACAAGUACUAGGCUGGCAGAAAAUAAUGUUGUAUGAAGUGUAAAGAAGGCGGUAAAUUGCUUGUUUGUAGAAAAACUACUUGUCCAAUUAUGGUUCAUGAAAGCUGCCUAACUACUUGUCAGAUUGAUGCAGAAGGAAACUUUUUGUGCCCAUUUUGUGUAUAUUAUCAGGCUAUUUCAAGAUGUGUUGAAGCAAAGAAAAAGGCUUCCUUGGCAAGAAAAGAACUUGCAUCUUUUAUAAGGAUAUAAGGUAUCAUAAUCCAUAAUACAACUUCAUGAAGUUAAUAGAAAAGAACAUAGUCCUUCUAGAAAAAAAUUAUACAUGAGCAUAUCUGUGAUCAAAAGAGUAGAAAUUGUGUUACCAGGUUCCGUAGACAAAUUACGGAGCUCAUCUAUGUGAGCAUCACAUCAAUAGUUUUAAAAUUGGAAGAAAUCAGCAACAAGCCUAUGAAUCAUGUGCAGAUCAUCAUGCAAUUGAAAGAAAGGCUUAAAUGACAAGCUAAAAAUGUUCCUCUAGUAGAAAAGUGAAUAUUAUGGGCAACAAGAAGAACAAUCACUUGUCUUUGGAGGGAUUGCUUAAGUUUGGUUGUGACCCAAUAAUUCCUUGGAAGAAACACACUACACAAGCCGAAGGAUAAAGGGAAAAGCCUGCAUAGAACUCGCCCAAAAUUGAAAUGACCAGGCUGCUUUUAUUUUUUGAUGGAAUUGGCUUAAUCUUUUAAUAUUAGUAUAGUUGUUCAUCUUUGUAAGUAUAAUUCUUUCAUUUUUUGUAGCACUCUUCCAGUAGUUGAAAGUUAAAUACUAUCUUCUAUAUAUAUUGUAAGGUCCAAGCCUAAGCACUAUUUUCAGUAUUUUGAUAAUGUCCUUUUUGUUUUUGAGUUUUAGAUCCAACUGAAACCAAUAUAUCCUCCUUCCAUUGCUUAUUUGGUUUGCA